rnacentral:rRNA from 1 species
UACGGAGGGUGCGAGCGUUGUCCGGAAUCACUGGGCGUAAAGGGCGCGUAGGCGGCUCGUUAAGGGUGCGGUGAAAGCCCGGGGCUUAACCCCGGGUCGGCCGUGCCGACUGAUGAGCUCGAGCACUGUAGAGGCAGGUGGAAUUCCGGGUGUAGCGGUGGAAUGUGUAGAGAUCCGGAAGAACACCAGUGGCGAAGGCGGCCUGCUGGGCAGUGGCUGACGCUGAGGCGCGACAGCGUGGGGAGCAAACAGG